GGAGGAGGGGGGAGAUGGCGGCGGCGGCUCCCUCUGGUGGCGGAGGAGGAGGGAGAUGGUGGCGGCGGCGCCCUCUGGUGGCGGAGGAGGAGGCCCCUGCCAUGGUGUCUCAGCUCUAGGCCCUCCUGCUUGACCGUGACACCCACCCUCAAGAUCCACUCGACAGAUCACGCGGCUGGCUCUCGAGCUCUACUGCGAUCCCCGAGGAUGUGCUAAGGAUGUGAAGGUCCAUCCCCGGCCCAUGGCUGCUGCCAGAUUAGGCUGGUUGAGCGGUUCUUUCAGUGCGGGCUGAUCUGCAGGCUCGACUUUUUGUUUUGGAGGUUGCUGCUCGUCGUUGGUUAUAUGGGGAGGCGUUUUGCUGGUCCAAGUUUCCUAGGCAGUGCUUUUGCUGGCAGGGAAAGUUCAGAGGAAUAUGCUUUGAGAGGUGUCAUAAUAUGAAAGGAAACAAUUAGUUCUGCCCAAGGGUGUUUCUUUGUACCGGGGCAUUGUCUCCAUAUGCUAGAUGAAAUCCAUGCCUCCCACAGUUAUUGAAGGUGUGUUGCUUCCAUUUGCAAGUUGCAUCAGCAAGAAUUGUUGGGCUUAAAAAUCCAGGAUGGUGUUGUUAAUGCAACAUCUCUGUUUGAAGAGUUGGUGACUGUAGUUUUUGGAAACUAUAGUGAUGGGCUAAUCUACCAGACUGUGGAGCUGCCUCAGAAUGGCGAGUUUUCUUGUGCCAAUGAAACUGGUUCUCAUAGAUCGUAAAGGAUGCUUCUAUUAUGUUUAUUUGGCUUCAACAUUACCUAUAGCAAGAUGCAUUUUUUUGCUUGUUUUUUUUUCCUGCAAGACCUUAUUCCUUGCACUCUUGAGUCUUUUGAGAAGGAGAAAAUUAUUGUUGGGAGGG